GAUGAACGCUAGCUACAGGCUUAACACAUGCAAGUCGAGGGGCAGCACAGUGUAGCAAUACAUGGGUGGCGACCGGCGCACGGGUGCGUAACGCGUAUCCAACCUUCCCGAUACUCAGGGAUAGCCUUCCGAAAGGGAGAUUAAUACCUGAUGGUGUUCAAAUUCCGCAUGUUAUUUGAACUAAAGAUUUAUCGGUAUCGGAUGGGGAUGCGUGACAUUAGAUAGUAGGCGGGGUAACGGCCCACCUAGUCUACGAUGUCUAGGGGUUCUGAGAGGAAGGUCCCCCACACUGGAACUGAGACACGGUCCAGACUCCUACGGGAGGCAGCAGUGAGGAAUAUUGGUCAAUGGUCGGAAGACUGAACCAGCCAAGUAGCGUGAAGGAUGAAGGUUCUAUGGAUUGUAAACUUCUUUUAUACGGGAAUAAAAUCUCCCACGUGUGGGAGCUUGUAUGUACCGUAUGAAUAAGCAUCGGCUAACUCCGUGCCAGCCGCCGCAGUAAAAC
rnacentral:rRNA from 1 species